GACACGGUCCUCAAGCAGCAGCAUAGGCUUUCUGCAAACUUUCCAGGUGCCAGGGCUAAUGGGAUGAAGUGUUAGCGUGGUGAACACCUGGGCAUCAUAAUAAAAAGGCUUGUGAGAACACACUCAGGAGAAAGCAGUGAUGGGAAUGCCAGGGAGUAUCUUUGGCUUAUGUGGGAAGCCUUGAGGUAGGGUCUGUAGGAAGCAGGGAGGUCCCCAGGAGAGUCUACUGGGAGUUGAGACAGUGGGAACCUGCUAGGGAAAAGAGCCUCCAGGGAGAAAGUUCUGGAAAGAAAAGCUCAGUUAAAAUGAGUGAAGAACUCUCCAGGGCCUAUAAAUAGGGGCAAAGAGUCAGGAACUUCAGCUAGUGAAUGACAGACUAUAAGAGACCCACAAGGGGGAAAGCCUAGUACAGAGCAGAAAAGAAUUGUAAGGUAGACCAGAGCAAUGUUCCCUCUAACUAUUCCCAUCCAUGUGUGGAAUGAAUUUUGCUAUGUGCAUCAUUAUGGAGGUGGACUUUUGUUUCUGUGGAAGGGGACUGAACUUUAAAUGUGACUUGGCUGGAGAGCUGAGUCACCCAGAAGAAGAGUGCUGAAGAAUCAGAUGAACUUACAAAAGGAGAUUCUAGAGCAGAAGAAUCCCUGAAGUGUUGCAUGCUGGUCUAAGGAGUUGCCCCAAUGACAGCAAGCUUCAAAGGGUUUGGAUUUCUGGCUCAAUCUGGAUGAGCAUCCAAAAUUUCAGAAGCUUUUCUAUCCCUCCUAAAACUGGGCUGGGAGUCUCAUGGGAACAGGCUGACACAUUCUAGUGGUUUCAGACUUGCAGAUUACAGCUGAAAGUGGACAUACCAAAUUUUCAAGCUUUUACCGACUGCUUGAACUAGUAGUUACUGGAAAUAAUAUAAAAAUGUCCAUUCUUGUGUGACAUCCAGACUUCUUUCUAAUAAAAAAGACCCAGACUCAGACAAGCAUCCAAAAUACCUGGAAGUUUAUCUAACCCACCAAACUGGAGCCAUCUGAAACUUUCAAAACUUCAGUGGAAAACUUUUUUGUGAAAUACUAUGACAUUGUUUCAUCUUGUUCUACUCCAAACCUUUAGCAGGGGCAGCUAUCACUACUUGCUAUACAGCUCUGUGUACCACACAUCAAAUAUACAAUGAGCCAAGGUGACAUCUACAUUAGAGUGUGAAAGCUCUGCUGAAUGCAAAACUAGACAACUUCUGAAUACUAUGCAAUAUCUUAGGAGAAUACUAUAUUCAAUUUGUUUUAGUUUUGUCUUUCCAGUUCUGCAGAAUUGAUUUGAAUUGGCUUCAUAACCACUAUGGAAUUGUGCCAGGCUAUUUAAUAAACACCUUUCUACAGAUUUUAUGUACAACAGUGAAGCCACCCCAGAACAUCUGCACAUAACUUGGGCAAGGCUUCAUUAUCUAAGGAAAGAUAACAGAUUUGAUGAAGAAAUUCAGAAAUAUAAAACUGACAAACAGAAUAAAAAACUUUAUCAUAUCAUAUUGCCUUGAAUGGAAGUAGAGAAUGCCUAUGGAAACAACUUCCAAGCAGAUGGGAAGAGCUCCAUGAUUUAAAUUCUCCCAGUUUCCCUAUCCAGUAAGUGAGACCCAAAGACUAAUUAGAGAAAACUGCUCAUGGUUUUAGGCUGACUUCUUGGUAACCACCCAUCUACUCAAAGGUUCUUGACCCAUGUU